UGGGGAAUAUUGCACAAUGGGCGCAAGCCUGAUGCAGCCAUGCCGCGUGUGCGAAGAAGGCCUUCGGGUUGUAAAGCACUUUCAGCGGGGAGGAAGGCGGUGAGGUUAAUAACCUCAUCGAUUGACGUUACCCGCAGAAGAAGCACCGGCUAACUCCGUGCCAGCAGCCGCGGUAAUACGGAGGGUGCAAGCGUUAAUCGGAAUUACUGGGCGUAAAGCGCACGCAGGCGGUCUGUCAAGUCGGAUGUGAAAUCCCCGGGCUCAACCUGGGAACUGCAUUCGAAACUGGCAGGCUAGAGUCUUGUAGAGGGGGGUAGAAUUCCAGGUGUAGCGAUGAAAUGCGUAGAGAUCUGGAGGAAUACCGGUGGCGAAGGCGGCCCCCUGGACAAAGACUGACGCUCAGGUGCGAAAGCGUGGGGAGCAAACAGG
rnacentral:rRNA from 1 species